UUAUCCGAGUCAGGCUGUGAGCGCUUGAGGGAACUCUGUGUCGCUCCGUUCCACUCAUUCGUGAUGCUCCGUGGCGGUCUUUGUGUUUCCUUGUCACCAUCAAAGCUUGAUGGCUUAGCUUGUUUUGAAACUAUUAAAUUCGUUAAUGGAGAAGAAACAUAUCAGCUAACUGGCCAAAUCAAGUCUAAAAUCAGAUCCAAUUUGCACGUCAUUACAGUUGGAGUUCAUACAGUUUGCACAAUAGCCAAGUACUUUUUUGGAGCCGCUAAACAUCUGACUUGACAUCUGAUAUGCUGCAGUUGACCUCAACACAGCUCAUCUAACCUUUGGCCCGAAUAAAAGGUGUGAUAACCGAGAUGGGUCCAGUUCUGACUGAGGUUCAUAUGAAGGGACCCCAUGGCUUCCAGAUGUCACAUGAUGGCAAGCAAAGAGUAAGU